rnacentral:rRNA from 1 species
AUGCCUAAUACAUGCAAGUCGAGCGAACAGAUGAAGUGCUUGCACUUCUGACGUUAGCGGCGAACGGGUGAGUAACACGUAAGGAAUCUACCUAUAAGCGGGGGAUAACAUUCGGAAACGGGUGCUAAUACCGCAUAAUAUCUUCUUCCGCAUGGAAGAAGAUUGAAAGACGGCUCUGCUGUCACUUAUAGAUGACCUUGCGGUGCAUUAGUUAGUUGGUGGGGUAACGGCCUACCAAGACGAUGAUGCAUAGCCGACCUGAGAGGGUGAUCGGCCACAUUGGGACUGAGACACGGCCCAAACUCCUACGGGAGGCAGCAGUAGGGAAUCUUCCGCAAUGGGCGAAAGCCUGACGGAGCAAUGCCGCGUGAGUGAAGAAGGCCUUCGGGUCGUAAAACUCUGUUAUAAGAGAAGAACAAAUUGUAGAGUAACUGC